rnacentral:rRNA from 1 species
GACGAACGCUGGCGGCGUGCUUAACACAUGCAAGUCGAACGGAAAGGCCCUGCUUUUGUGGGGUGCUCGAGUGGCGAACGGGUGAGUAACACGUGAGUAACCUGCCCUUGACUUUGGGAUAACUUCAGGAAACUGGGGCUAAUACCGGAUAUGAGCUCCUGCUGCAUGGUGGGGGUUGGAAAGUUUCGGCGGUUGGGGAUGGACUCGCGGCUUAUCAGCUUGUUGGUGGGGUAGUGGCUUACCAAGGCUUUGACGGGUAGCCGGCCUGAGAGGGUGACCGGCCACAUUGGGACUGAGAUACGGCCCAGACUCCUACGGGAGGCAGCGGUGGGGAAUAUUGCACAAUGGGCGGAAGCCUGAUGCAGCAACGCCGCGUGCGGGAUGACGGCCUUCGGGUUGUAAACCGCUUUCGCCUGUGACGAAGCGUGAGUGACGGUAAUGGGUAAAGAAGCACCGGCUAACUACGUG